rnacentral:rRNA from 1 species
AUUGAACGCUGGCGGUAGGCCUAACACAUGCAAGUCGAACGAGUGGCGGACGGGUGAGGAAUAUAUCGGAAUCUGCCCUAUGGUGGGGGAUAACUACUGGACACGUUCGCUAAUACCGCAUACCAUCAGAUGAUCCCAUAUGGGAUUAGCUUGUUGGCGGGUUAACGGCGCACCAAGGCGACGAUCCCUAGCUGGUCUGAGAGGAUGACCAGCAACACUGGAACUGAGACACGGUCCAGACUCCUACGGUAGGCAGCAGUGGGGAAUAUUGCACAAUGGGCGCAAGCCUGAUGCAGCCAUGCCGCGUGGGUGAAGAAGGCCUUCGGGUUGUAAAGUACUUUCAGCGGGAAAGCGUUACCCAAAGAAGAAGCACCGGCUAACUCCGUGCCAGCAGCCGCGGUAAUAC